UUGUAACACCAGUUCUCGUACGAUCACUGAAGUUAAGCAAUGUUGAGCCUGGUCAGUAUCUAGGGUGACUGAUUACGAAUACCAGGUGCUGUAAGC